rnacentral:rRNA from 13 species
GAGUGGCGAACGGGUGAGUAACACGUGAGUAACCUGCCCUUAACUCUGGGAUAAGCCUGGGAAACUGGGUCUAAUACUGGAUACUACCUCUUACCGCAUGGUGGGUGGUGGAAAGGGUUUUACUGGUUUUGGAUGGGCUCACGGCCUAUCAGCUUGUUGGUGGGGUAAUGGCCUACCAAGGCGUCGACGGGUAGCCGGCCUGAGAGGGUGUACGGCCACAUUGGGACUGAGAUACGGCCCAGACU